GGAGCAACCGUCUUGGUUGGAUGAUCUUCUUAAUGAGCCAGAAACUCCUGUGCGCAGAGGCAGCCAUCGACGUUCAUCUAGUGACUCCUUUGCAUAUUUUGAUUCUGUUAACGCUGCAAACUUGGAUUACACAGCUCAAGUUGAUAACAAGUUCAGAAAUAUGCCUCCUAUCCCUUCCUGGGGGUCUCAAGACUUCGAUUAUUACAAAGAUGCUCGACAAGCUGCUUCUUUUGUCGACCAAAACUCCUCAAUCCGACGCAAGAAUAGGGAAAAUGAUGUAUCUUCAACUACAGUAUCACAUCUCCGCAGCCUUUCCUCUCCUGGGGAAGAUCUCCGUAUUCAGAGGUCUGGAUCACCAUGCC
rnacentral:misc_RNA from 1 species